rnacentral:rRNA from 1 species
AGGUUGAAGGUUGGGUAACACUAACUGGAGGACCGAACCGACUAAUGUUGAAAAAUUAGCGGAUGACUUGUGGCUGGGGGUGAAAGGCCAAUCAAACCGGGAGAUAGCUGGUUCUCCCCGAAAGCUAUUUAGGUAGCGCCUCGUGAAUUCAUCUCCGGGGGUAGAGCACUGUUUCGGCAAGGGGGUCAUCCCGACUUACCAACCCGAUGCAAACUGCGAAUACCGGAGAAUGUUAUCACGGGAGACACACGGCGGGUGCUAACGUCCGUCGUGAAGAGGGAAACAACCCAGACCGCCAGCUAAGGUCCCAAAGUCAUGGUUAAGUGGGAAACGAUGUGGGAAGGCCCAGACAGCCAGGAUGUUGGCUUAGAAGCAGCCAUCAUUUAAAGAAAGCGUAAUAGCUCACUGGUCGAGUCGGCCUGCGCGGAAGAUGUAACGGGGCUAAACCAUGCACCGAAGCUGCGGCAGCGACACUGUGUGUUGUUGGGUAGGGGAGCGUUCUGUAAGCCUGUGAAGGUGUACUGUGAGGUAUGCUGGAGGUAUCAGAAGUGCGAAUGCUGACAUAAGUAACGAUAAAGCGGGUGAAAAGCCCGCUCGCCGGAAGACCAAGGGUUCCUGUCCAACGUUAAUCGGGGCAGGGUGAGUCGACCCCUAAGGCGAGGCCGAAAGGCGUAGUCGAUGGGAAACAGGUUAAUAUUCCUGUACUUGGUGUUACUGCGAAGGGGGGACGGAGAAGGCUAUGUUGGCCGGGCGACGGUUGUCCCGGUUUAAGCGUGUAGGCUGGUUUUCCAGGCAAAUCCGGAAAAUCAAGGCUGAGGCGUGAUGACGAGGCACUACGGUGCUGAAGCAACAAAUGCCCUGCUUCCAGGAAAAGCCUCUAAGCAUCAGGUAACAUCAAAUCGUACCCCAAACCGACACAGGUGGUCAGGUAGAGAAUACCAAGGCGCUUGAGAGAACUCGGGUGAAGGAACUAGGCAAAAUGGUGCCGUAACUUCGGGAGAAGGCACGCUGAUAUGUAGGUGAAGUCCCUCGCGGAUGGAGCUGAAAUCAGUCGAAGAUACCAGCUGGCUGCAACUGUUUAUUAAAAACACAGCACUGUGCAAACACGAAAGUGGACGUAUACGGUGUGACGCCUGCCCGGUGCCGGAAGGUUAAUUGAUGGGGUCAGCGCAAGCGAAGCUCUUGAUCGAAGCCCCGGUAAACGGCGGCCGUAACUAUAACGGUCCUAAGGUAGCGAAAUUCCUUGUCGGGUAAGUUCCGACCUGCACGAAUGGCGUAAUGAUGGCCAGGCUGUCUCCACCCGAGACUCAGUGAAAUUGAACUCGCUGUGAAGAUGCAGUGUACCCGCGGCAAGACGGAAAGACCCCGUGAACCUUUACUAUAGCUUGACACUGAACAUUGAGCCUUGAUGUGUAGGAUAGGUGGGAGGCUUUGAAGUGUGGACGCCAGUCUGCAUGGAGCCGACCUUGAAAUACCACCCUUUAAUGUUUGAUGUUCUAACGUGGACCCGUGAUCCGGGUUGCGGACAGUGUCUGGUGGGUAGUUUGACUGGGGCGGUCUCCUCCUAAAGAGUAACGGAGGAGCACGAAGGUUGGCUAAUCCUGGUCGGACAUCAGGAGGUUAGUGCAAUGGCAUAAGCCAGCUUGACUGCGAGCGUGACGGCGCGAGCAGGUGCGAAAGCAGGUCAUAGUGAUCCGGUGGUUCUGAAUGGAAGGGCCAUCGCUCAACGGAUAAAAGGUACUCCGGGGAUAACAGGCUGAUACCGCCCAAGAGUUCAUAUCGACGGCGGUGUUUGGCACCUCGAUGUCGGCUCAUCACAUCCUGGGGCUGAAGUAGGUCCCAAGGGUAUGGCUGUUCGCCAUUUAAAGUGGUACGCGAGCUGGGUUUAGAACGUCGUGAGACAGUUCGGUCCCUAUCUGCCGUGGGCGCUGGAGAACUGAGGGGGGCUGCUCCUAGUACGAGAGGACCGGAGUGGACGCAUCACUGGUGUUCGGGUUGUCAUGCCAAUGGCACUGCCCGGUAGCUAAAUGCGGAAGAGAUAAGUGCUGAAAGCAUCUAAGCACGAAACUUGCCCCGAGAUGAGUUCUCCCUGACCCUUUAAGGGUCCUGAAGGAACGUUGAAGACGACGACGUUGAUAGGCCGGGUGUGUAAGCGCAGCGAUGCGUUGAGCUAACCGGUACUAAUGAACCGUGAGGCUUAACCUUACAACGCCGAAGGUGUUU